CACCUGGUUGAUCCUGCCAGUAGUCAUAUGCUUGUCUCAAAGAUUAAGCCAUGCAUGUCUAAGUAUAAGCUUUAAACGGCGAAACUGCGAAUGGCUCAUUAAAACAGUUAUAGUUUAUUUGGUGAUCGAUUACUAUUUGGAUAACCCGUAGUAAUUCUAGAGCUAAUACAUGCGUCAAGGCCCGACUUCGGAAGGGCUGCGU
rfam:Perkinsus marinus ATCC 50983 gcontig_1104296593774, whole genome shotgun sequence.